AAGGUGAGACUGAACAUGGACAAGGCGCAGGAGAAACAGAAGGAGAGCUACUGGAGCAGAGUCGAGAAGGGGACCAAGUGCUACYACAUCCGGGCAAAUGAGUUGGUUUGGAAGAAGGACGAAAGGGUUACCUAGGUUAACAAUCUUCUACAGUUGGAGCAGAUGGACGGUCGACCCCUGGAAGCACUGACGCCCUACACUUCAGUGAAGCGUAAUAGACAAAUGACUUUAGGACCAUCGACUGUCCAAGCCCCCCAGGAGGUAUCCCGUCCACCAGAACCAGUGAGUUCGGAUCAGUCUGAUUCUCUGUGCUCUGAGUCGGAGGGGGACCAG